CGUGGCGGACGGGUGAGUAACGCGUGGGUAACCUGCCCUGUACAGGGGGACGAACAGCCGGAAACGGCUGCUAAUACCGCAUAAGCCCGCGGCGCCGCAUGGCGCUGCGGGGAAAACUCCGGUGGUACAGGAUGGGCCCGCGUCUGAUUAGCUAGUUGGCGGGGUAACGGCCCACCAAGGCAGCGAUCAGUAGCCGGCUUGAGAGAGUGGACGGCCACAUUGGGACUGAGACACGGCCCAGACUCCUACGGGAGGCAGCAG
rnacentral:rRNA from 1 species